CAGUCGCCGCGGUAAUACGUAGGGUGCGAGCGUUAAUCGGAAUUACUGGGCGUAAAGCGUGCGCAGGCGGUUCGUUAAGACAGAUGUGAAAUCCCCGGGCUUAACCUGGGAACUGCAUUUGUGACUGGCGAGCUAGAGUAUGGCAGAGGGGGGUAGAAUUCCACGUGUAGCAGUGAAAUGCGUAGAGAUGUGGAGGAAUACCGAUGGCGAAGGCAGCCCCCUGGGCCAAUACUGACGCUCAUGCGCGAAAGCGUGGGGAGCAAACAGGAUUAGAUACCCGCGUAGUCCCUGUCUCUUAUAC
rnacentral:rRNA from 1 species